AACAGAUUCCACCAUCCUCCAACAAUGUGAGUCACAGGCAACAACUAGGAGGUUUCUGGGCACAAAUAACCAGCGGGCAUUUAAAGAACAUAUGGCAUUUUAGCAAACACAACACUUUUCUUCUUUCCAAAGAUACCACUUUCUAAAACUGAAUGGCUUUUGAAGUCUCCUAAAUUUGGAAGUAUUUUUGUUCAAUUUAAGGGCUAUUCAUGCAAUUAAUAACUGUAAUUACUUAUAUAACCAAGGAGCUUCCUGAGAUAUAAUCCUAGCUUUAAAAAAUAUUCCAAGGAAUCAAGUUUCAAAUCCAAAUUUACAACACAGAAUGCCAAAUAUUUUUAGGUUACUAAAUACUCUAGAAAGGGCACUAGAGUAAAGGAAACAUAUUUUUGGUGUCAUAAACAGAAGCUGAAGAAGUGUUUAAUAAGGUAGAGAGCCUUCAGUGGUUAUUAGGGCUCCUCUACCAAUUCAGUCCAUCACGUUUUCUGUUCUUACCCUCAGUUCAUCAGGAAUGUCUGACUCAGAUAUAGAUAGAAAUGGGCCAAAUAGGGGGACAGCCUGCUCGGAA
rnacentral:lncRNA from 1 species